AAUUCGGUAAGUGAGGCUACUACAGGGAUACGGAUUGCUGCCGCGGAGUUGUGGAGACACAAUGAGAAGGUUGAACAGGCUGUAUCGAAUUAAGGUAUAGCAUAAUGUAAUUUCAUCGCCCUGUAAAGCUAAAGCUCAAACGAAG
rnacentral:sRNA from 1 species